GGAUUAUAGGUGUGAGCCAGCACACCUGGCCGGUUGUUUAUAUUUAAGUGUCUUUUUUUCACUAAUGAGGACCACCUUGUAAAUUCUGGGCAUUUUCAGAGUUUUCUCUUCCAUGCGAAUUGCUCCAGCUAACUUAAUAUUAGUUUCUCAGGGGUUUCUGUAGACCUGGCUUUGUCUCUUUCCAUCUGUUUCUCUCUUUCCCUUUAACGUCACUUGCCUGAGGUAUAUAAGGCCCUUUAAGGUUGCCAGCCCAGAGCUAGAAGAGAUUGGUGUCCCUGAAGUUAAGAAAGCCACCUUUGCCUACGGAUGGUGUUCACAGUGUUGGUGUGGAGUCACAGCUUGACUUUUGGGGGCCCCAGGAGAUGUUGACCCAGCAGGCCGUGGCGCUGCAGAACUAUGACAACAAGCUGGUCAGAUGCAUAGAGGAGCUAUGCCAGAAGCAGGAGGAGCUGUGCUGGCAGAUCCAGCAGGAGGACGAGAAACAGCGGCUGCAGAAUGAGGUGAGGCAGCUGACAGAGAAGCUGGCCUGCGUCAACGAGAAGCUGGCCCGCGUCAAUGAGAACCUGGCACGCAAGAUUGCCUCUCGCAGUAAGUUCUACCAGACCAUUGUGGAGACGGAGGCCACCGACCUCAAGAUGCUGGAGAGCUCCCAGAAUUUGCUCAGUGUCCUGAAGAGGGAAGCUGGGAACCUGACCAAGGCUACAGC
rnacentral:sRNA from 1 species